rnacentral:lncRNA from 1 species
CUCCACUCUGUCUCUCUUUCCUCUGGGAUAGGAUACUCCAUACUGCGCAUCACAUCCAGUAGUCACUGCUGGAGCCUGGCGUCAAAGUGAGAUACCACACGGCCUUCCAUCUCUGAAGUAGUGCUGGUUUUCCAAAGGCUAGGAAGCCAUCCCACCGCUGCCACCAAUGUAACGGAUCACCUGGCACCCCGACUGGGUACCUCCGUUGAUGGAUGCUCCUAGCACUUCUUGAGGGCUCCAAGCACUCUAG